AUUGAACGCUGGCGGCAUGCCUUACACAUGCAAGUCGAACGGUAACAGGUCUUCGGAUGCUGACGAGUGGCGAACGGGUGAGUAAUACAUCGGAACGUACCCGAGAGUGGGGGAUAACGAGGCGAAAGCUUUGCUAAUACCGCAUGCGAUCUCAGGAUGAAAGCAGGGGACCGCAAGGCCUUGCGCUCACGGAGCGGCCGAUGGCAGAUUAGGUAGUUGGUGGGAUAAAAGCUUACCAAGCCGACGAUCUGUGGCUGGUCUGAGAGGACGACCAGCCACAGUGGGACUGAGACACGGCCCAGACUCCUACGGGAGGCAGCAGUGGGGAAUUUUGGACAAUGGGCGCAAGCCUGAUCCAGCCAUGCCGCGUGCAGGAUGAAGGCCUUCGGGUUGUAAACUGCUUUCGUACGGAACGAAAAGACUCUGGUUAAUACCUGGGGUCCAUGACGGUACCGUAAGAAUAAGCACCGGCUAACUACGUGCCAGCCGCCGCGGUAACAC
rnacentral:rRNA from 1 species